CCCUUAGAUGUUCUGGGCCGCACGCGCGCUACACUGACGGAGGCAGCGAGCAUGUCCUGCGCCGAGAGGUGUGGGGAAUCUUGUGAGUCUCCGUCGUGCUGGGGAUAGAUGGUUGCAAUUGUCGAUCUUGAACGAGGAAUUCCUAGUAAGCGCGAGUCAUCAGCUCGCGCUGAUUACGUCCCUGCCCUUUGUACACACCGCCCGUCGCUCCUACCGAUUGAAUGCUCAGGUGAGCCAUUCGGACUUUCAUCAUGCUGGUUUCCAGUUUUGAUGAAGGAAAGUCUUGCGAACCUUAUCAUUUAGAGGAAGGAGAAGUCGUAACA
rnacentral:rRNA from 1 species